rnacentral:rRNA from 1 species
CGCAGCAGUUGCGAAAACUCCACAAUGCACGAAAGUGUGAUGGGGCUACCCCGAGUGCCGUCCGCUGAGGAUGGCUUUUCUCUGCUGUAAGGAGGCAGAGGAAUAAGGAGAGGGCAAGUCUGGUGUCAGCCGCCGCGGUAAUACCAGCUCUCCGAGUGGUAGGGAUGAUUAUUGGGCUUAAAGCGUCCGUAGCCGGCUUGACAAGUCUUCUGUUAAAUCCAGCAACCCAAUUGUUGGACUGCGGGAGAUACUGCCAAGCUAGAGAACGGGAGAAGCCGACGGUACUCUCAGGGUAGGAGUGAAAUCCUAUAAUCCUGGGAGGACCACCAGUGGCGUAGGCUGUCGGCUAGAACGUGUCUGACGGUGAGGGACGAAAGCUUGGGGAGCGAACCGGAUUAGAUACCCGGGUAGUCCAAGCUGUAAACGAUGCGGGCUAGGUGUUGGGGUGGCUACGUGCCACUUCAGUGCCGCAGGGAAGCCGUUAAGCCCGCCGCCUGGGGAGUACGGUCGCAAGGCUGAAACUUAAAGGAAUUGGCGGGGGAGCACCACAAGGGGUGAAGCUUGCGGUUUAAUUGGAGUCAACGCCGGGAACCUUACCGGGGGCGACAGCAGAAUGAAGGCCAGAUUUAAGUCUUGCUAGACG